rnacentral:rRNA from 1 species
GAUGAACGCUAGCUACAGGCUUAACACAUGCAAGUCGAGGGGCAGCACGGUGUAGCAAUACACGGGUGGCGACCGGCGCACGGGUGCGUAACGCGUAUCCAACUUUCCCGUUACUCUCGGAUAGCCUUCCGAAAGGGAGAUUAAUACGAGAUGGUGUUCAGUUUCCGCAUGUUAACUGAACUAAAGAUUCAUCGGUAACGGAUAGGGAUGCGUGACAUUAGAUAGUUGGCGGGGUAACGGCCCACCAAGUCAACGAUGUCUAGGGGUUCUGAGAGGAAGGUCCCCCACACUGGAACUGAGACACGGUCCAG